UACGGAGGGGGCUAGCGUUGUUCGGAAUUACUGGGCGUAAAGCGCACGUAGGCGGCUUUGUAAGUUAGAGGUGAAAGCCCGGAGCUCAACUCCGGAAUUGCCUUUAAGACUGCAUCGCUCGAAUCAUGGAGAGGUGAGUGGAAUUCCGAGUGUAGAGGUGAAAUUCGUAGAUAUUCGGAAAGAACACCAGUGGCGAAGGCGACUCACUGGACAUGUAUUGACGCUGAGGUGCGAAAGCGUGGGGAGCAAACAGG
rnacentral:rRNA from 1 species